UAAGCGACUAAGCGUACACGGUGGAUGCCCUGGCAGUCAGAGGCGAUGAAGGACGUGCUAAUCUGCGAUAAGCGUCGGUAAGGUGAUAUGAACCGUUAUAACCGGCGAUUUCCGAAUGGGGAAACCCAGUGUGAUUCGUCACACUAUCAUUAACUGAAUCCAUAGGUUAAUGAGGCGAACAGGGGGAACUGAAACAUCUAAGUACCCCGAGGAAAAGAAAUCAACCGAGAUUCCCCCAGUAGCGGCGAGCGAACGGGGAGCAGCCCAGAGCCUGAAUCAGUGUGUGUGUUAGUGGAAGCGUCUGGAAAGGCGCGCGAUACAGGGUGACAGCCCCGUACACAAAAAUGCACAUGCUGUGAGCUCGAUGAGUAGGGCGGGACACGUGGUAUCCUGUCUGAAUAUGGGGGGACCAUCCUCCAAGGCUAAAUACUCCUGACUGACCGAUAGUGAACCAGUACCGUGAGGGAAAGGCGAAAAGAACCCCGGCGAGGGGAGUGAAAAAGAACCUGAAACCGUGUACGUACAAGCAGUGGGAGCACAGCAAUCUGUGUGACUGCGUACCUUUUGUAUAAUGGGUCAGCGACUUAUAUUCUGUAGCAAGGUUAACCGAAUAGGGGAGCCGAAGGGAAACCGAGUCUUAACUGGGCGUUAAGUUGCAGGGUAUAGACCCGAAACCCGGUGAUCUAGCCAUGGGCAGGUUGAAGGUUGGGUAACACUAACUGGAGGACCGAACCGACUAAUGUUGAAAAAUUAGCGGAUGACUUGUGGCUGGGGGUGAAAGGCCAAUCAAACCGGGAGAUAGCUGGUUCUCCCCGAAAGCUAUUUAGGUAGCGCCUCGUGAAUUCAUCUCCGGGGGUAGAGCACUGUUUCGGCAAGGGGGUCAUCCCGACUUACCAACCCGAUGCAAACUGCGAAUACCGGAGAAUGUUAUCACGGGAGACACACGGCGGGUGCUAACGUCCGUCGUGAAGAGGGAAACAACCCAGACCGCCAGCUAAGGUCCCAAAGUCAUGGUUAAGUGGGAAACGAUGUGGGAAGGCCCAGACAGCCAGGAUGUUGGCUUAGAAGCAGCCAUCAUUUAAAGAAAGCGUAAUAGCUCACUGGUCGAGUCGGCCUGCGCGGAAGAUGUAACGGGGCUAAACCAUGCACCGAAGCUGCGGCAGCGACACUGUGUGUUGUUGGGUAGGGGAGCGUUCUGUAAGCCUGUGAAGGUGUGCUGUGAGGCAUGCUGGAGGUAUCAGAAGUGCGAAUGCUGACAUAAGUAACGAUAAAGCGGGUGAAAAGCCCGCUCGCCGGAAGACCAAGGGUUCCUGUCCAACGUUAAUCGGGGCAGGGUGAGUCGACCCCUAAGGCGAGGCCGAAAGGCGUAGUCGAUGGGAAACAGGUUAAUAUUCCUGUACUUGGUGUUACUGCGAAGGGGAGACGGAGAAGGCUAUGUUGGCCGGGCGACGGUUGUCCCGGUUUAAGCGUGUAGGCUGGUUUUCCAGGCAAAUCCGGAAAAUCAAGGCUGAGGCGUGAUGACGAGGCACUACGGUGCUGAAGCAACAAAUGCCCUGCUUCCAGGAAAAGCCUCUAAGCAUCAGGUAACAUCAAAUCGUACCCCAAACCGACACAGGUGGUCAGGUAGAGAAUACCAAGGCGCUUGAGAGAACUCGGGUGAAGGAACUAGGCAAAAUGGUGCCGUAACUUCGGGAGAAGGCACGCUGAUAUGUAGGUGAAGUCCCUCGCGGAUGGAGCUGAAAUCAGUCGAAGAUACCAGCUGGCUGCAACUGUUUAUUAAAAACACAGCACUGUGCAAACACGAAAGUGGACGUAUACGGUGUGACGCCUGCCCGGUGCCGGAAGGUUAAUUGAUGGGGUCAGCGCAAGCGAAGCUCUUGAUCGAAGCCCCGGUAAACGGCGGCCGUAACUAUAACGGUCCUAAGGUAGCGAAAUUCCUUGUCGGGUAAGUUCCGACCUGCACGAAUGGCGUAAUGAUGGCCAGGCUGUCUCCACCCGAGACUCAGUGAAAUUGAACUCGCUGUGAAGAUGCAGUGUACCCGCGGCAAGACGGAAAGACCCCGUGAACCUUUACUAUAGCUUGACACUGAACAUUGAGCCUUGAUGUGUAGGAUAGGUGGGAGGCUUUGAAGUGUGGACGCCAGUCUGCAUGGAGCCGACCUUGAAAUACCACCCUUUAAUGUUUGAUGUUCUAACGUGGACCCGUGAUCCGGGUUGCGGACAGUGUCUGGUGGGUAGUUUGACUGGGGCGGUCUCCUCCUAAAGAGUAACGGAGGAGCACGAAGGUUGGCUAAUCCUGGUCGGACAUCAGGAGGUUAGUGCAAUGGCAUAAGCCAGCUUGACUGCGAGCGUGACGGCGCGAGCAGGUGCGAAAGCAGGUCAUAGUGAUCCGGUGGUUCUGAAUGGAAGGGCCAUCGCUCAACGGAUAAAAGGUACUCCGGGGAUAACAGGCUGAUACCGCCCAAGAGUUCAUAUCGACGGCGGUGUUUGGCACCUCGAUGUCGGCUCAUCACAUCCUGGGGCUGAAGUAGGUCCCAAGGGUAUGGCUGUUCGCCAUUUAAAGUGGUACGCGAGCUGGGUUUAGAACGUCGUGAGACAGUUCGGUCCCUAUCUGCCGUGGGCGCUGGAGAACUGAGGGGGGCUGCUCCUAGUACGAGAGGACCGGAGUGGACGCAUCACUGGUGUUCGGGUUGUCAUGCCAAUGGCACUGCCCGGUAGCUAAAUGCGGAAGAGAUAAGUGCUGAAAGCAUCUAAGCACGAAACUUGCCCCGAGAUGAGUUCUCCCUGACCCUUUAAGGGUCCUGAAGGAACGUUGAAGACGACGACGUUGAUAGGCCGGGUGUGUAAGCGCAGCGAUGCGUUGAGCUAACCGGUACUAAUGAACCGUGAGGCUUAACCU
rnacentral:rRNA from 1 species